rnacentral:rRNA from 1 species
GCAGCAGCCACGGGAAUACGAAGGGUGCAAGCGUUACUCGGAAUUACUGGGCGUAAAGCGUGCGUAGGUGGUGGUUUAAGUCCGUUGUGAAAGCCCUGGGCUCAACCUGGGAAUUGCAGUGGAUACUGGGUCACUAGAGUGUGGUAGAGGAUAGUGGAAUUUCCGGUGUAGCAGUGAAAUGCGUAGAGAUCGGAAGGAACAUCUGUGGCGAAGGCGACUAUCUGGGCCAACACUGACACUGAGGCACGAAAGCGUGGGGAGCAAACAGGAUUAGAUACCCGAGUAGUCCCUGUCUCUUAUAA